UACGUAGGGUGCAAGCGUUAUCCGGAAUUAUUGGGCGUAAAGAGCUCGUAGGCGGUUUGUCGCGUCUGCUGUGAAAACUGGAGGCUCAACCUCCAGCCUGCAGUGGGUACGGGCAAACUAGAGGUAGGUAGGGGAGAAUGGAAUUCCCGGUGUAGCGGUGAAAUGCGCAGAUAUCGGGAGGAACACCGGUGGCGAAGGCGGUUCUCUGGACCUUACCUGACGCUGAGGAGCGAAAGCGUGGGGAGCGAACAGG
rnacentral:rRNA from 1 species